UAUUCAUAAGCUAGCGUCGUUCUUUAGUAUUUCGAAUCUCCAGUGAGAAGCAGUUGUGUUAGUGAUUUCCUAGUUCUUUGUGCUAUUGGAAUCCACUGCAAAGCAGUUUUAUUCAAGACUCUGUUCACAUCGUUUCUGUAAAAUUAUUCAGUCACCUUGUGGGCGACAACCUCCUCUUCGAGCCAAGAAGUCUUCUGAUUGGUUUGUAAAUUGUAUCUUUUUUAUUUAAUGAAAACGAUGUAAAUAAAGUGAUAUUAGUCUAUAAUAAAAGUAUAGUUUGAAGUUUUGGAUUUCAUGGCUAAACCUCCCUAUACUAAUUUAUUUUGCCUUUACAUGUUUAUAAGCAAGAUGUUCCUGCAAACUUUGACUUCUGCUGCUCUGAAAAUUCGUUCACAGAGUAUUGAACCUGGGUAAGCGAGAGUUAAUUCCCACACAUUUUGGAGAUAGUAAUGAGCUGGGCGAUUAACUACAGGGAGUUGUAGAAGGGCUGCAUUAAACGGUAACAUUUGAUGUAUAUUUUCCCCAUGUAAGUACGAAUUACUUCAAAUUUAUUUAGUGUGCUCAUAAGUUGCAAAAAUGGAAAUGGUUGUAAAGGUAUUGAGAAACAUUAGAUUUAUUUGAUGAGUGAACAUUUCUAAAUUUUUGUGAAUAUGAGUCGACAACAAAUUUGAAAUAAUGAGUACUAAACUCGUGGUAUUAGCUUAUUAUGCUUGGAAUUGUUCCUAGUUUGUAGUAUUUGGCAAUGUUCUAAUGUAAUAGAAAUAAUCUUUACAAAUAACUUUUGAGUUUACAUUGCAAAUGAUAUGAAUAUAUUUUAAGUAUAAUUUGCUAAUAUUAUAUUUAGAAGUAAUUAAUUUUACUUCUGAAUUUAAUAUCUUAUAUACAAGAAAAAUGAUUUUCUUCAGGUUGGCAAUGAGGCUUGCAGGCCUUCUCCGAUAGUUGCCAACAUGAGCCCUACUACUUCCUAGAAAUGCACUCAUAAGGAUAUUUGCACAGGAAUAUUAAAAAUUUAUAUACAUCCCAAUAAUCUUUGAUGAAAGGAUACCAUUUGCUGAGUACUGGUCUUUAUUCUGGUUAUAUCUAUUAUCUGAAAUGAAUUAGAAAUUUACUGGCAAUCUAAUCAUGAUUCCAUUUCAAUUAUUGGUAGUAUUAAUUUUGACUAAAACUACAAGGUCUGAGACAAGUGGAGGACGUGAAAUGAGAGCAAAUGACUACAAAAGUAGAGUAUUUAUGAGAUCUUUCUGAUAUAGUAACUAAAAUUGUGAUUGUUAUUUGGAAAAUGUUAAACAUCACUUGUUCAAGUGUAAGGAGGAUAUGCUGGGUGCUAUAAUGGGAGAUAUAGUAUAUUACUAGGGAACAAUAACUAGACUGAAUCUGUGUGAGUGAUUACUGAGAAUUAUCGCAACUAAGACUUUCCGAGGAACUAGAUUUCUAUUGAAUUUUUUGUUUCUUCAAAGUUAUUCAGAUUUAUUGGUGUGGCAGAGGUAUUGCAAGAAUACUCCUUCAGUUCAAGAAAAGUGAAUUAAAAGAGUAGGACAUAUUGGUAUGCUUGUAUUCUUCGUUUAUUAUUGCAACUUGAGUUCAGAAGUUUUCAAAAAAUUUGCAGAGUACAAAAUUUAUCCUCAAUCUAAAUUAUAUUUUGAUGAUCAAUUACUGCCUUGAGUUUAGUUACCAACAGGUCGUACAUAGGAUAUAAAAAAACUGAAGCUUCUUCUGAGGGCUUGUAAUUGAAAGAUGCGAUAUAACUAGUUUAAAUUGUAAAGGUCUGUUUUUUUCAACUAAUUGAAGCUUUCAAUACUGACGCUUCAAAAAAAAUUUUUGAAGGAUGAAUAGAUUGAUCUUCUAAAAGGUCCAUUUUAAUAAUAUUUUUUGUAACUUUGCAUGCAUAAAAAUUCGUAGAAUUUAGUUUUCUUAGAAUGCUUUGAUAUGUUAUAGGUUAUUUGGAGAAAUUAUAAGUGAAACAUUUAAGAAAUCCCCUACUCUAUUUUUCAGAAUAUUAUUUAUUCCCAAGUGUUUUAUCAUUUGCAUUAACCAUUUAUGUUUUUACACUGCAACAAUAAAUUGUGAGUUUCGAACAUCAAAGUAGAUUUGCUAAUACAUAUUUCCAUUUUUUUUUACUGUGAAGCUAGAAUUUUAAUUUAUAAGUAGAUUGAUUCUAUGAAAAAAGUAACUUCGAAUUAGUGAAAUAUCCAAGACACUAAAACAUGAGAAUGAGCUAAUGAACUUAUUUUAUAUUAAGUUGUGAAGUGCUUACUAAUACGCAGAUGUGCGCAUAUGCAUGGAGAUAAAGUUGAAUGUUAAGAGUUUAUCUAAAAUUUACUACGUAUUUAUUUUCGAAUUUAUGGUUGAUUGAAUUCUUUAUUUGGAAGCCUGCAAUUUUAUUGGAACAUAUCAAGUAGACAUAUUUAGCCUAUUACUUAAAAUAAUGAUCAAUUAUUAAUUUAAACUAAUUAUGAUACUGAAUUUUAAUAGUAGUAUGUGACAUAUUUGGUAUAUAGUUUCGGCAAAACUAUCCACUGAAAAGUUUUUUUUAACGAAUAAUUUCUUACUGCAAUAAAAUGUUUUUAUGUUGUUCGUUAGAAUGGAACAUUGAUAUUUCUUGUAAUAUUUCCUCUGUGUUCUGCUAAAUAGAAGGUUACGAGAAUUGCAGUAUUUCUGAUUUUGAGAGAUUUCCUGAUUCUCCAAAAAUUUCGCCCAAAAUUUAGAAACUAAUCAACUUUGUUGUAAAUAUUUUUUAUUUAGGAUAAUUUUUUCCGUUCUUUCUUUUUUAGAAUGAAAAUAGUUUCUUCAGAUCAUCUAAGAACUUUUAAAGAUCAUACUAAAUUGUCAGAUAUUUUAGAAAAUUAAAUUAUUUUUCAGAAUUGGUUACUUCAUUCGGUUUUGCUAGUAAACAUGAUAUAUACUCCCUAUUUUUUGUGGAUUUUGGAUUGAAACUAUUAAUCACGAGACUUAGUCGAUCAGCAUUAGAAUUUUAUAUCAAGUACCAGCGUCAGAAUACAGUAUUUUUGUAUUGGUCUAACAUCCUAUCAUCACGUUAAAAAUACAUUUGUUUGAAAAGAUAGUGCAGGGUAUACGACAAUUCUGAAAUAUUCGGAUUAUCCUAGACGUAUUUUUCAGAUUAUAUGUAGUUCGGACGGAACAAUUUUGGGAGCUCUUAAUGACAUUGUGAGCAUUCGUUUGAAAAUAACCAAGAAUUAACAAUUUUAUGUCCUAUACAUACGAAUUAAAUUCUAAACUUUUAAUUGAAUAGAUUGAGUGAUGAAGGUAUUGGUUUCGAUCGCCUAACGGUUUUUUUCAGAAUUCAUCAUUUAACUUUGUAAUCAACAAAGCGAAGGUAUGAACCAUGAAAUAUUUGGGAUGCUUUAACAGUAUUUUUCAGAAUAUUGGAUUACUCCUAUUAUUAUUAUCUAAAAAGAAAAUGACUUCAAGAUGUACCUGCAUCUAGCUUACCAAAGUGUAGGUUAGCAAACUGUCAUAAAGUCCAUGUAAGGGUCGCAUAAUGAAAAAUUCUAAAAAAAUAAUUUUUUAGAAUAACCAUGUCGUGGAAAAGUAUUUCAAAAGUUAUCAUAAUUAUCGAUUUGCACUGAGGUCCUUGUUUUUUUAUAGUAACACUUGGAAAUUGGAUGUUUCGUGGUGUGCAGAUAGAAGUAAAUAUUUCACUGAAAUUCGUUAGAAUAUCCUACGAGUAGUUAAUGAGUAUGUAUAUAGCUUACCUUGGAAAAUUGGAAAUGCAAUCAUUGUAUCACAUGGACACUCUACCAAUGUUUUAUGAAUUACAAGUGAAAUGAAAGAGUUCAUAGUUUCGUCAAUGACCAUUUUGAGGAAUCCGUAGUAUGACGCCUUUUAUAUUCAUACAUUGAUAUUCUAGUGCCGAUCAGUGCCUCUUUAGAAAGUUUGGUAAGAGAUAUGGAUAAUUUUUUUUGGAAAAUUGCGUAUUUUCGAACAGUUUCUAGGAUCUGGAUUUUCACUCUGACAAAAUAUUAAACAUUUAUUCUAAAUCACAACCUGCAAACGAUCUAUAAACCUAAGGUGAUAAAAGAUAUUUUUGUGGAAUAUCUAACUGUAUUUUCAGAUUAUUGAAAUGAUUUACGCAGACACUUUCCCCAGAACUUUGGAUAUAGCAAAUUGGGUAAUCGCAGAUUAUUUGUUCUAACUGUAUUUUUCAGAAUGCAUCAACUAUUUAUUUCAAUGGUUUUGGUGCGUAUGGGGAUAGAUAAAGCACAGUUUGUCCAAAAGAUACAUAAUUGACAUUCUUCUAAUCACAAAAAGUAGUGAGUGCAGCUCGGUAAUAACGAAAAACACGCAUAAGUCUGUAAUUACAGAUUAUGUAUCGUACCUUAACUGUAUUUUUUAGAAUGUCUUACCUGAAGUAGACCUUAGGUAAUUAUUGCUUCCCCAACAAAAGUUUUUCCAGGAACAGGAUUGACCUUGGGAAAAAAUAUUCAUAAAACAUUUAUAGAAAGGAAUGAUUCAUACAAUAAGUCUACUAAAAUCUAUUGUACAGGAAACUUAUUUCAAUAGCAUCAGCAAUUUCCUAUUAGAAGUAAUAUUAAUAGCACUUGGAAUUGAAGGUUUGAAAUAUGUGAAAUCCUGAAGUUUGAAGUAUUAUGGCACAUAAGAAAGUUACAUUCACAGCUUGUAUUGAUACCUAUGAAAAUUCCCAAGUGUAAUCAUUAUACUAUGCCAUCAAUCAACUAAUGUUUCCUGGUAGAAUCGUGUGAAAAAAUGUUUUGGUGCGUUCUAAAGACAUAUUGAAAAAAAUGCCGGCAUGGAAAUUUUUGGUAAGGGAUUCGUAUAAUUUCUUUUCGAAAAUCUGUAUUUUCUAGAUCUGUUCUCACUCUGCGGAUUUUCAAUCAAUCCGGGAUUAUAAAAAAUAUGGGUUUUCUAAUAGCAUUUUCAUUAUUGAUUCGAUUUAUUAGGACACAUUUCGGAAAAUGUCAUCCGUCGGAUUUUUUUUUGAGAAAACUGGUUAUCAAAUACGUAGUGCCAAUAAAAAUAGUGAUUGAUGCGUUUCGAGGAACGCAAGAAUCGACAUACAGACAUCGACAGAAUAUCUAACGUGAAAUUUCGCAAGUUUUUUAAUCGUAUCAAGGUAAAUUCAAAUAAAAAAAAUAGAUAUUUUUUAGAAUAACUUUUAUGGAAAUGAUCUCGAAAGCAACGUGGUUCAAGCUUAUCAAAAAUUUAUAACAAUGAAAAAUUCUACUAAGACCGUAGCUAAACAUUUUCUCUAUUUGCACCUAAAAUAAGGUCUUAUGUUUAUAAUGUGCAGUUGGAAUUUAACGUGAAUGUAUUGAUUGUAUUGAUAAAUAACGUUUGAAAGCAUGUGAGUUUUGUUACUUAUGGCAUGCGGUUCAUAAUAAAAACAUGUUUUGCAACAUUUGAUACUCGUGAGUUACAUAUAAUCAUUAUAAAUCGCUUGACCAAAAGCUGUCUUCAAAAUUCCUACUUCAUUUUGCAGUUCCAGUCGAUGUCUAUUUGGAAGUUUGGUAAGAGAUAUAAUUUCAUUUCGAAAAUCUUUUCGUAUUUUUUAGAAUGCAUUUGUAUUUUUUUCACUCCAUGCUAUGUAUACAAGAUUAAUUUAUGAAUUUCCAAUCUUACCACUUUUCGUAAUUAUUGGAUGGAUUAUCUUAAUCACGCAAGUAUUAUGAUUUGGUCAAACAUGCUUCGGAAUCUGUUUGGAAUACCUAACGGUAUUUUCAGGUCAUUGGUACGAUUUACUCCGACGCAUUUAGCAACAUUUGAAUCUGCGAAAUUCGACAAUCAGAUAUAAUUUAAGAUGUUUCAACUAUAUAUUUCGGAAUGAAACUACUUAUUGAAUGGUUUUAUAUGAGCAGAUAGAAGGAGCGUGCCCAAAAUAUCAUUAUUGAUAUUAAUUUCUCAAUCACCUCUAUUUUGCUGGUCUUAUUUUAUCGAACAAGCAAUAAUCAGGUCUGUAAUGACGACGUAAUUUUGGAAUGCAUAACGUUUUGUUUGUAUAAUUUACUUAUACAACUUGCAAUUCGCAAGGGAAAUAUGUGAUAUCUUAACCGUAUUUUUCAGGACGUAAAACCUGAAAUAAGCAAAUGACAUAAUUAACAAUUAUUUUUUUGGUUAAAGUAGAAAUGAAAUUAUUACCUGAUCUAGAUUUUAUCGGAAUGUAAUAAAAUUAAAGAUUAGCAAGAUAUUCAGACUUAGGAUUAAUUUUCCGUAAUACAGCAGAAUGAUACAGAAAUACAGGAUGAUGUCGAAUAUCAUCGCGAGAUCUUUGGAACUGUAUUUCAACAUUCCCAGGAUAUCUGCAUUACUCCUUGUGUAAUUUAAUCCAAUAGAAAAACGUUAACUGCAGCAAAUCUCGAUUUUUUUAAAAACCGAGUAUUUUUUUUUUAUAAACUUGCUCGGAAUAUUUUAAUGAACGUUCAAUAAUCAGGUUGGUAAAGGAACUAUUUUUGGAAUACUAACUGCAUUUUUAGAUUACUCAAUCGAUUUGUCAUGAUUUGGAUCAAGUUAUUCGAAGAAAUAUCGACAUUUAAUGACCAAAUAAAGCUAAUUUUAAUUGAAUAUUCCAAAAAAUCGGAUGUCUCAAGCUGCGCAGUUGUCAUUUGUAGUAAGGUACUCGUUUAAAAAAUUUGCAUUUAACGUAGAUGUUUCAGCGAAUUCUGGAAAAAUCAUUAGAUUUACCAAAGAAUUGUUCUAUCAAACUUAGGUAUACUUCAAUUUCGUUCUAUCCAAUUCCACUCGACAUUUUUUAAUUUGACAAAGAUAAAAAUGGGAUUGAUUUUAUUAUGUCUACAAGCGAGCCACGUAUUCUACAACAAAAUUUUCGGACAUACUUAAAUUACAUGAGAGAGGAACACAAUAAAUCAUUCUGGUCACUGUACUUGACACCACAAUCACAACAUAUACGCAUGAACACGAAAAUUUGGAAAAUUUCAAAUUGCGUCUGCACGUUUAAAAAAAUCGUCAUAUUGAUGUUUGAAAGCACUUCAUUUUAUGUACUUAUGGUAUGUGGUCCAUAUUAUGAUUUAAGUUUUAUAAAAUUAUGUAAUAAUCAUGAUAAUUGUAGUUCUGUUAAACAGGCGCCACUUUAAAAUUCGUACUGCCAGUGGCCAAUUAAUUCCUUUUCGAAAGUAUUCCUAUUUUCUAGAACGAUUCUCUGCCUAUAUUUUACUUCAAAUCGAGUAUCUGAUGUUCAACGAUUUGAAUUCUUUUAUUGGAUAUUAUACAUGCAAGUAUUAUGAUUCUAUCAAGUGUCAACUAGAUAUAUUUUAGUAAUUAACAUGCUUCAGAAUAUGUUGGAAAUUUGAAAAAGGAUAUUGAAAUAUUUUUGGACUACGGCAGUUUUUAAGGUUAUGGAAACGAUUUACUCGGACACCUUUCGCAGUAUUUGGAACGUAAGAUCGGCAAUUAACUGUAUUUUUCAGAAUGUUUUGUGCUUGAAGUAAAUUCACUUUUUCUACCAAAUAUAGAUUUUUCUAAUUUGUAAACUAUUCAGUAAUUUAAUAAGUUAGUUUACAAAAACGAAUAAUACACACCUAUAUGUCUACCAUAUAUCUAACAAAUAUUUUACAGACUCAUUCAAGUAAAGAAAUGUUUUUGAUAAUCAGUAUACUAAUGUAUACUUAUGUUCGAUUCUGUGCGUUGUUGAGAAAUUUAGUAUGCUGCUGAAAGCUUUUGGGGGAUGAGAUUGAUUCAUAAUCCAGAUUGCAGUUCGAGCCACUGUCCUACCGUGUAUAGUCUUUUCCAAAAAGGUUGGAUUUGUACUGUAUUGAGUGAACAUUCAUCGUGCAUGUGAUACUAUAAAUUUGACCCAACGUUAUUUGGAAAUAUUUUUUUAAAAACUAUGUUAAAAAUCUAUACAGAGUAUAAAUAAUACUAAUUAACAAAUGGACUAGCGAUGUAAUUUGGAACAAUUUUAUUAGAAAAUGUAAACAUUGAAUCCUGAAAUAACUAAGUGGAAGAUUAAUUUGUCGACUGUAUGUAGGUAAUUUUAAUGAAAUCUUGAAAAAAUAUAUUGAUUUUUUUAGAACAUGUGGUAAGGUCCUCCUAUAGUUCCUCGUAAGAAUGAAAUAUAUGUAUCUAUAAUUUGCAGGUGGAAGUUAAAUAUUUCAGUUCGUCUUAAGUUUUAUUGCAGCGGAAAAAUAGAUAACUACGAUAAAUUCCGUGAAAAUCUGAUUGCUCCGGAAACUGUUAAAAUGACAGUGAUGAAAAUGAAAAAUGUCUGUAAUCAUUACGUUAUGUUGACAAUGUUUUCUAGAAUUCCUCAUAAUAAUACAUAACGUAAUAAUAAAUCAGUUGAACAAGCCUCAAAAUUCGUAAUGUUUUAUCGAGUGUCAGUCGGUGGUCUGGUAAGAGAUUUCUAUAAUUUCGAAAAUAGAUAAUCUUUUCUAGAAUGAUUCCCAGCCUAUGUGAUAAUUGGUUAGAAUACUGUCAUUAUAAAACUAUUUUGAUAUGGUCUAUUACUAAUUAACUCCAUCUAUUUUACUCUGAUGAUUCUCCAAAAUCUUUAUGAGGGCCUAAUUGAUGAUUUUGGGAUAUCUAGAAUCUAUCAGAUUAUCGGGAUGAUUUAUUAGGACAAAUUUCAAGGAAUGUGGACAACUUGAAAUAGGUAAUCGCAGAUUAUUCAAGGAGUUCUAACCGUAUUUUUCAGAAUGCACCAGUAUUUGUCUUAUCAAUGGAUUUACUGAAAUCUGCUUCCGAUGGAUUAUUUACCGUGUUUUCCAGAAUUAAAAUUUUUUGACAAGUGAUCUGCUUAAUCCAUAAACGAGUAAUUCAUUUAUUAUGCCGUCUGCUCAUAUAUAUUUUACAGACUGCUUUAAGAGAGGAGAAAAUGGGUAUAUACAUCAUUAUAACUGCUUGCGUGUCUUCGGAAAAAACUAUCCAUACUUGCAAUUGAAAUGGAAAGGUCAGUUUCUUAAUAUUUCGUACCGUCUAUAAUAUUUUCCAGGUAUCGGUUGAACAUUAUAGAAAAUUAGUGACCGAGCCAAAGGGCUGUCAUUUUUUCUGUGUUUCAUCUAUUUUACAGAGAUAUUCCAACAUUCCCGUAUCAUCUAAUGAUGAUCAUCACUUUUUAUUUGUUUUAAUGCGAUAUUACGGCAAUUCGAAAAAGCGAGUCACAUAAUCAGGUCGGUAAAGAUGAAGUAUUUUUAUAGUAACUAACAAUAUUAGAUUAUUUUAACUAUUUGCUCCUACACGUUCUACAAAACUUCACAUAUCAAAGUGGGUAAGGUGGUUUAACCCUAUUUUUUAGAAUGUAACAACGACAGAAUUAAGUACACAGAUAUAUAAAUAAUAUGAUUCGGCGUUUGUUAAAGAGGUCAAUUCAAUUAUUCUUGUAAUUAUAAUAUCCUGGAAUAUCGGACAACGAACAAUAAAACAGGUCGGUAAUAAUGAGGUACUUUGGAAUACAUAACUGCAUUUUCAGUUCGUUUGAUUUACUGCCGACACAUCUCGCCCAACUUUAAAUUCUCAUUGGGCGGAUAUGAUGUCUUAACCGUAUUACAAUUGUUUAGUGCUUCAGUGUCGAACAUUUAACGAUAUUUUCAGAAUUGAAUCAACUUACAUAUUAAUUAUCUGGUAUGUUACAAUCUAUUUACUUCACUAUGUGAUCAACCUUUCGGCAAAAUCUAUAUUGCUUUCUAUAUGAAUGACAUUAAUUAUAGCAAGUCUCUAGAUUAAAAUAAUGCAAAUUUUUUCAUUUUUCGUGAUUAACAUGCUUAACAUCUUCAAUGGAUAACCAAUCAGCAGGUCAGUAAUAAAAUAACUAUAUUUAAAAUACAUAAGUUUUGAAGAUUAUUGGAACAAUUUAAUCGGACAUAUUCAGCACAUUAUCAGGAAGUAGUUUUUUGGAAGCUUAUGUUUAAUGUCUAUACAGAAUGGGAAUAAUACUUAUUACCAAUUGGCAUAGUGAUUAAUUAAUUUCAUAGAAUGAGUAUUAUCGAUAAAAUAUUGAGGUGGUUUGGAACAUUUUGGUUAACAAAUGUAAACUUGUGAUGAAUCAGGAAUACUUAACGGAGAAAGAUCGGUUUUUGUUGACAGUAUGGAAGUACUUUAAAUGCGGUAUUCCAAGAAAAUAUAUAUUGUUUUUUUAGAAUAUAUAGUAAGGUCCCCUUUCCAUAGUUUCUCGUGAGAAUGAAAUAUCUGUGUCCAUAGUUUGCAGCUGGAAUUGAAUGUGAAAGUGAAAUCUUUGAAAUUAACGGGAUUCGUCGUAGUUUACCACCCGUAGUUAUAGUAAUCAUAGUAACUUCGUGAAACCUGAUUGCUUCGGACACUAUUACUGAUGACAACGCAAAGGUCGGUAAUCAUUACGUUAUGUUGACAAUGUUUUCUAGAAUAAUCACGUGAAGAAAUGUAUUCUGAAUUGGUGACUUAUGAUUUAUAUUUGUACAUUUUAAAGAAAUUCGCCAUAUUGAUAAAUAACAUUCGGAAGUAGGUGAUUUUUUAUAGUUUGAUAUACGAUUUUUAUCAAAAAUAGAUGUACUAUCGAUCGAUCAUUCAUAAUUCGUAAUUUUUUUAUUGUAGUACCAUUCAGUGUCUUUAGAAGGUCUGGUAAGAAAUUUAUAUAAUUUCUUUUCGAAAAUCCUUUGGUUUUUUUUUUCUAGAAUAACUCUGACCAUGCGAUGACCAAUCUUCUAAACUCUGCUUUUACAAUGCUUGAAUAGACUACUUAAAUUAUGCAACUAUUUUGAUAUGGUAUAUUUCUACUAGAAUUUAUUUGAGGGCCUAAUUUUAUGAUUUUAUCUUAAAAUUCGUAAACGUAGGUUGUUCAAGGUGUUCUAAACGUAUUUUUCAGAAUUAUUUGUUUUAUCGAUGGAUUUGCAAUAUAUUCAGAUAUUAGAGGAUAGUUUGGAAAAACUCAUUAUUGAUAUUUUCACAAUUGGAAUACCCAACCGAAUUUUCAGAUAACUUUAACACAUAUCAGAUGAGUUGAAAUACGCAAACCAUGGAUUAUAUACCAAAUUCUCCAGAGUUGAAAUUUUUUGCGCUGUACCUUGCCUAAUUAUAAUCCAUAAAAACGAGUAAUCCAUUUAUUAUGCCGAAUGCUAAUAUAUAUUUCACAGACUGCGACAAGAGAAGAAAAUAUGUUCUCGAAAAUGGGUCUAGAUCAUUAUAACCGCUCGUGUGUAUUCGAAAAAAACUAGAUUUAUUUAUUCUUACAAGAGGAAUGCGAAGAGGUCAGUUUCUUAAAAUUUCGUACCGUCUAUAAUAUUUUCCAGGUAUCGGUUGAAGAUUAUAUAAAAUUAAUGACCAAGCCAAAGGUCUGUCAUUUCUUCUGUGUCUUAUCUAUUUUUCAGAGAUAUCAACAUUCCCAUAUUAUCUGAUGAUUAUCAUCACACAAAAUGGUAUUGAUUGAGACGGAGUAUUUUUAUAGUAACCAACAAUAUUUUAGAUUAUUGUAACUAUUUGCCGAAUACAAAAUUUAACAUGUCGAUAUCGAUAAAGUGUUUUAACCCUAUUUUUUAGAAUUUACCGAAACAAUCUUAAUGAUAUAUGAUGAUAUAUUAAGAAUAUGAUUUGUCGUUUGUUGAAUACAUCAAUUCAAUUAUUCUUGAAAUUAUAAUAUCUUCGUAUAUUUUAUCGGACAACAAAUAAGCAAGUUGGUCGAUAAUGACGAAAUACUUUGGAAUACAUAACUGCAUUUUCAGUUCUUUCGAUUUCCUUCCAACAUAUCUCACCCAAAUUGAAAUUCCCCUUGGACAUUAACCGUAUUUUUCAGGACUUGUUUAGUAUUUCAGUUAGAACUUGAGAUAAUUAUUGCUUUUUCUUAUAUAUUUUUCCAAGAUGUGAACUGAAUUGAUAAUGUUUAAAAUAUUUGUGGCAAUAUGCUAUCCAAUAAAAACAUUAGUUAUUUUUCUGUCGAACAUUUAACGAUAUUUUCAGAACUAAACGUGCAUACGAAUUUUCUGGUUUGUCACUAUUUAGUUACUUUACUAUGUGAUCAGCAGGUCAGUAAUAAACUACUUAUAUUUGAAAUACCUAACGGCUUUUUAAGAUUAUUGGAACGAUUUGAUCGGAAAUAUUUGGCACAUUAUCUGGAAAUAGUUUUUUUGAAACUACCUAUUACCAUAUGGACUAUAUGACUAAUUAAUUUCAUGGAAUUGGUAUAAUAGAUAAAAUAUUGAGGUAAUUUUGAAUAAGUUUAUCAAAAACGUGAACUAAUGAUGAAUCAAGGAAUAACAAGAAAAGGAUUUUUGGUGACCGCACGAAAUUAAUUUCAAUGAAAUAUUCCAAAAAGAUAUAUCUUGUUUUGUAGAAUUAUGCCAAGGUCGUCGUUGUCUAUAGUUGCCCUUAAAUAUGAAAAAUCCGUAUCCGUAGUUUGGAGUUAGAAUUGAAUUUUUUAGUGGAAUAUUGAAAAUUCAACAGGAUUCAUCCUAGUAUUAUGACAAUGAAGAAAAUGAGAACGUCAGUACCUAAUUAUAAAUAUAAUUUUUUCUAGAAUAAUAUUGUGAUGAAAGUUUCACGAAUCAGGGACUAAUUGUAUUUGUGCUGUCAAAGGAAAUUCGCCAUUUUUAUAAUAACGUUCGACUGCAUACCCAUAGUAAGAGGCUCCUAUAGAAAAUAAAUUAUGAAAACUAAAAUUAUGGAAACUAUCAAUCAUUUAUUAUAAAUCGGUUUGAAAAGUAUCUUCUUGAAAAUUCGUAAUUUUUUAUUUUAGUGCCAUUUAGAACGUCUGGUAAGAAAUUUAUAUAAUCCCUUUUCGAAAAUCUUUUCGUAUUUUCUAGAACUAUUCCCAGCCCAUGUGAUGACUAAUCCUCUCUCGGCUUUUGCAAUUAUUGGAUAAAAUACUUUAAUUAUGCAAGUAUUUUGAUAUUGUCUAAUACUAUAUUAAUUAAUAGUAAUACUUAAUAUUAAUUCGCAUCUAUUUUACUUUGAUGGUGACUCAGAAUCUAUUUGUCAGCCAAAAUGAUGAAUUUAAGAUAUCUAGGAUCAUUAUCAGAUUAUUGGAAUGAUUUUUUCGAACACAUUUCGAAGAACGUGGAUAUUUUAAAAUUGGUAAUUGCAAAUUAUUUAAGGUUUUAACCGCAUUUUUUAGAAUGUACCAACUAUUUGUUAUCGAUGGUUUUACUGUACUUUCGUAUAUAUGGAGGAUAGUUAAAAAUCCAUAAUUCAUAUUUUUACAAUUGCAACACCGAACCUAAUUUUUAGUUUACCACAAUACAUCCCAGAUAACAUUAAUACGCAAACGAUGGAUUAUAUAAAAACUGCUUCAGAUGCCUCAUUGCAAAAUUGUGAUUAGUUGCUCCACAUAUCUUAAUGUUGAACCAGUAACAAGGCCGUUAAAGACGAAUCAUUUUUGAAAUAAUUAACUAUUGAUACAAUUUGCUCGAACACACUCUGCAAAACUUGACAUGCCGAGAUCAUUAAUCGAAAUAGUAUCGAAAGUAUCUGUAUUUUUCAGAAUAAUUUCCAGCACGCGGAUUAAUAACUUUUCCAAAUUACUGAUUGUUGAUAAAUUGGAUUCUGCCAUUAUUUAGUUGAUCAGAACUACUACUAGGAAAUACAAGAAAUAUCUGACGAAAUAAAUAUAAUACUCGUUAGUUUUGUAAGGAACUUAUUGGACAAUCAAUUAGUCUGUAGGUGAUAUUGAGAUAACUGGUUGCUUUCCUUUAUUUAAAAAUCUGUAACCGCAAUAAUGAGACAUUGUGAAGUACAUUGAAGAUGAAAUAAGUUUGAGUAUUGAUAGAGUUUAUUGAGGUUUUUGGGUUAUAACUGGUGUUAUUCGGCACAUGGGUAAUUUCAAAUAUUUCCAUAACACUUAUAGUAUGAAAAUAUUUAUUAAUAUAAAGAGGAAAUUGAUGUAACAUUAGAAAAAAAUUUUCUAUUUAAAGAGGAGUUAAUAUCUUUGAAUUAAGAAGAUUUAUUGAUUAUUGAAAAGAUGAUUAUAACAUUAAAUACAAUGAGCAGGGAAGGUUGACAAUUUUAUGGUAAAUGAGACCUUUUGAUGAGCUGGAGAAAGGUGAUGGUUUCAUUAUGUAUGAGAAGAAUAACAGUUUUUGUGUGGAUAGAUUGAUGGAAACUAUUGGUCGAUGGUUUCUCAAUGAAACAAGAUAAUGGCACCUGAAUUGUUGAAACAAUAUUUCCUGAAUGGAUGAAUCGAUGGUUUUUAAAUGGAUGGACCGAUGAUUCCUGAUAUUACUGGAUGGAUACAGACGGCGGUUCCUGGAUGGAUAGAGAAGGGGUUCCUGGACGGACGGAGAUCACGAUACCUGAAUUCAUGGAUACGACGUUUCUUGAACGGAUGGAUACGAUGGAUCUUGGACGGAUGGAUACGAUGGUUCUUGGACGGAUGGAUACGAUGGUUCUUGGACGGAUGGAUACGACUGUUCCUGGAUAGACGGAGAAGAUGGUUUCCUAGAUGGAUGAAGACGAUGGUUUCCUAGAUGGAUGAAGACGAUGGUUUCCUAGAUGGAUGAAGACGAUGGUUUCCUAGAUGGGUGAAGACGAUGGUUUCCUAGAUGUAUGAAGACGAUGGUUUCCUAGAUGGAUGAAGACGAUGGUUUCCUAGAUGGAUGAAGACGAUGGUUUCCUAGAUGGAUGAAGACGAUGGUUUCCUAGAUGGAUGAAGACGAUGGUUUCCUAGAUGGAUGAAGACGAUGGUUUCCUAGAUGGAUGAAGACGAUGGUUUUUGAAUGGAUGGAUAGGUGGAAACUAUUAGUCGAUGGUUUCUGAAUGAAAGGAGAGAAUGGCUCCUGAGUUGUUGUGGCGAUGUUUCCUGAAUGUAUGAACGGAUGGUUUUUAAAUGAAUGGACCGAUGAUUCCCGACUACGAUUACUGGAUGGAUGAAGACGGCGGUUCCUGGCUGAACGGCGACCACGAUACCUGAACUCAUGGAUACAACGGUUUCUGGACGGAUGGAUACAACGGUUCCUGGACGGAUGGAUACGGCGGUUUCUGGACGGGAAGGAUACGGCGGUUUCUGGACGGGAAGGAUACGGCGGUUCCUAGACGGGAAGGAUACGGCGGUUCCUAGACGGGAAGGAUACGGCGGUUCCCAGACGGACGGAGAGGUGGGUUCCUGUACGGUUGGUGACGACGGUUCUUACAUGGUCGGUGACGACGGUUCUUAGAUGGUCGGUGACGACGGUUCUUAGAUGGUAGGUGACGACGGUUCUAGAUGGUCGGUGACGACGGUUCCUGGAUAGACGGUGACGACCGUUCCUGGAUAGACGGUGACGACCGUUCCUGGAUAGACGGUGACGACCGUUCCUGGAUAGACGGUGACGACCGUUCCUGGAUAGACGGUGACGACCGUUCCUGGAUAGAGGUGACGACGGUUCCUGGAUAGACGGUGACGACGGUUCCUGGAUAGACGGUGACGACGGUUCCUGGAUAGACGGUGACGACGGUUCCUGGAUAGACGGUGACGACGGUUCCUGGAUAGACGGUGACGACGGUUCCUGGAUAGACAGUGACGACGGUUCCUGGAUAGACGGUGACGACGGUUCCUGGAUAGACGGUGACGACGGUUCCUGGAUAGAUAGUGACGACGGUUCCUUGAUAGGCGGUACGACGGUUUCUGGAUAGACGGUGACCACGGUUCCUGGAUAGACGGUGACCACGGUUCCUGGAUAGACGGUGACCACGGUUCCUGGAUAGACGGUGACCACGGUUCCUGGAUAGACGGUGACAACGGUUCCUGGAUAGACGGUGACCACGGUUCUUGGAUAGACGGUGACCACGGUUCCUGGAUAGACGGUGACCACGGUUCCUGGAUAGACGGUGACCACGGUUCCUGGAUAGACGGUGACGACGGUUCUUGGAUAGAUGGUGCCGAUGGAUCCUACAUAGGUCGAGACAAUGAAUCCUACAUAGAUCGAGACAAUGAAUCCUACAUAGAUCGAGACAAUGAAUCCUACAUAGAUCGAGACAAUGAAUCCUACAUAGAUCGAGACAAUGAAUCCUACAUAGAUCGAGACAAUGAAUCCUACAUAGGUCGAGACAAUGAAUCCUACAUAGAUCGAGACAAUGAAUCCUGCAUAAGUCGAGACAAGGAAUCCUGCAUAAGUCGAGACAAGGAAUCCAGGGGACGGCGGUUGCAGUACCGCAAGAACAGAUUGUUGCUGGAUUAAGACAAUGGUUCCUGGAUGGUUAGAAACUACGGUUCCUGGAUGGUUCGAAACUACGGUUCCUGGAUGGUUCGAAACUGGAUUAUUAAAAACUGCGAGUCCUGGAUGGUCCAAGAAAACGAUUCCUGGAUGGUCCAAGAAAACGAUUCCUGGAUGGUCCAAGAAAACGAUUCCUGGAUGGUCCAAGAAAACGAUUCCUGGAUGGUCCAAGAAAACGAUUCCUGCAUGGUCCAAGAAAACGAUUCCUGGAUGGUCCAAGAAAACGAUUCCUGGAUAGUCCAGGCUCUUUGAUGGAGACGAUGGUUCCCAGUUGGAUGGAGACGACGGUUCCCAGUUGGAUAGAGACGACGGUUCCCAGUUGGAUGGAGACGACGGUUCCUAGUUGGAUGGAGACGACGGUUCCCAGUUGGAUGGAGACGAUGGUUCCCAGUUGGAUGGAGACGACGGUUCCUAGUUGGAUGGAGACGACGGUUCCCAGUUGGAUGGAGACGACGGUUCCCAGUUGGAUGGAGACGACGGUUCCCAGUUGGAUGGAGACGACGGUUCCUGGAAAGAAGGAUACGACGGUUCCGGGAAGAAAGGAUAAGAUGGUGUCUGGAAGGAAGGAUAAGAUGGUGUCUGGAAGGAAGGAUAAGAUGUUUCUGGAUGAGGGGAUGAAACGGUUCCGGAAUGGAGGGAUGGAAUGAUUCCUAGUUAGAUGGAGACGACGGUUCCUGGAUGGAUAGAGAUGACUGUUCCUGGAUGGAUAGAGGUGACUGUUUCUGGAUGGAUGGAGACGAUGGUUCCCGGAUGGAUGGAGACGAUGGUUCCCAGUUGGAUGGAGACGAUGGUUCCCAGUUGGAUGGAGACGACGGUUCCUAGUUGGAUGGAGACGACGGUUCCUAGUUGGAUGGAGACGACGGUUCCUAGUUGGAUGGAGACGACGGUUCCGGGAAGGAAGGAUAAGAUGUUUCUGGAUGAGGGGAUGAAACGGUUCCGGAAUGGAGGGAUGGAACGAGUAUAGUAUGAUAUAGUAUAGAUGGAGACAGCGGUUUCUGGAUAGAUGGGGACAGCGGUUUCUGGAUGGAUGGAUACGAUGGUUCCUGUAUGAAUGGUAAUGACGUUUGUUUUAUGAAGAACGUUGGCGGUGACGGCUGGAUCGACCCCAAUAUAAAUAAUUUGUACCGAUCCCAAUAUGAAAAAUCAGUAUGAUUAAGUUACACGAUUAUCCUGAAUGGAUAGAGAUGAUGCCAAAAUGAAUGUAGUCGAUGGUUUCCUGGAUGUAUGGAGACAAUGUUUCUUAUGUGGAUGGAUACAAGGGUUCCUGAAUUGAUAAUAUGUUUUUUGAUUGUAUGAAUUGAUAGCUUCUGACUCGAUGGAUUCUGGAUGGAUGGAGAUGACGUUUUUCGGAUGGAGAUAAAUAGGAUGAUUCCUGGAUAGUGGACACAAUGACUCUUGAAUGGUACGUGACCAUGGUUUCUGGAUGUAUGGCUACUAUGGUUCCUGACGAAGAUUAUUGGAUGAGAGAGACGACGGCUCUGGGGUAGAUGGAGAUGAAGUUUCUUGGAUGGACAGAGACGGUGGAUACAUGGAACCGAUGGCUGGAGAAGAUUCCAGUUCAUUCUAAGAAGACUGUUCCUGGUCGGUCGGAGAGUACUGUUUUUGUUGGUUGUACAUGUUUCCUGGUCGAAUAUCCAGUAUGAGUGAUUUAGGAGAAUACACUCCAUGAACAAAUGACGAAAUUGUUGAUGGAGAACUACACACUACGUUUGGAUGAAAUGGGUCGAUGGUGUUUGAAAGGAAUGAGAUAACAGUCCAUGAAUAAAAAGAGGCGACGUUUCUUGGAUGGGUGGAUACGAUGGAUACUAAAUGGUAAGAGACGAUGCUACUUGGAUCGAUGGAAACGAUAGCUUUCUAUGAAUGGAGGGAGACGACGGUUCCUUAAUUGAGGGAGACGACGGUUCCUUAAUUGAGGGAGACGACGGUUCCUUAAUUGAGGGAGACGACGGUUCCUUGAUGGAGGGAGACGACGGUUCCUUGAUGGAGGGAGACGACGGUUCCUUGAUGGAGGGAGACUCGGUUCCUUGAUGGAGGGAGACUCGGUUCCUUGAUGGAGGGAGACGACGGUUCCUUGAUGGAGGGAGACGACGGUUCCUUGAUGGAGGGAGACAACGGUUCCUUGAUGGAGGGAGACGACGGUUUCUAGAUGGAUGGAGACGACGGUUUCUAGAUGGAUAGAGACGACGGUUCAUGGAUGGAUGGGAAGACAGUUCAUGGAUGGAUGGGAAGACAGUUCAUGGAUGGACGGAAACGACGAUUCCUGAAUGAAUGAAAACGACGAUUCCUUGAUGGAGGGAGACGACGGUUUCUAGAUGGAUGGAGACGACGGUUCAUGGAUGGACGGAAACGACGAUUCCUGAAUGAAUGAAAACGACGAUUGCUGAAUGAAUGAAAACGACGGUUCCUGGAUGAAUGAAAACUAAGAUUCCUGGAUGAAUGAAAACGACGGUUCCUGGAUGGAUGGAAGCGACGGUUCUUGCUGAAUGGAAACGGAGUUUUUGAUGAAUGGGUAUGAUUAAUCCUGGAUAAAUGGAACUACGGGUCCUGGAUAAAUGGAAACUACGGGUCCUGGAUAAAUGGAGACUACGGGUCCUGGAUAAAUGGAAACUACGGGUCCUGGAUGAAUGGAAACUACGGGUCCUGGAUGAAUGGAAACUACGGGUCCUGGAUGAAUGGAAACUACGGGUCCUGGAUGAAUGGAAACUACGGGUCCUGGAUGAAUGGAAACUACGGGUUCUGGAUGAAUGGAAACUACGGGUUCUGGAUAAAUGGAAACUACGGGUCCUGGAUGAAUGGAAACUACGGGUCCUGGAUGAAUGGAAACUACGGGUCCUGGAUGAAUGGAAACUACGGGUCCUGGAUGAAUAGAAACUACAGGUCCUGGAUGAAUGGAAACUACGGGUCCUGGAUAAAUAGAAACGACGGUCUCAGGAUAGAAUUUUCGUGAAGAAUACAACACGACAGUCUUGAAGAAUAUUCCACGCACAGAUCAGCUUAUUGUGGUGGUUCAUUUGAAGACAAGUAUCUAAUUUUGAUCUUGAUUACAUUUGGUUCAAAUUUAUGUACAAUGAGUAUUAUAAUAAAAAUUUUAUAUUCUAAAAAAACUUUAUUUCUCCUGUAUACUUAUAUCGAUUUAAUCGAGCGUCAUAUUGGAUUUUAAAGCUGUUCAAAGAGCUAAGAACCAACGUCGAUGUAUAUAAAUUUAAAAUCGGCAUCUGUCCACUCCAGUAAAAUGCAAGUAAGAACUUUUUGUAGUAAAAUAUGAUAUCCGGAAUCUUCUCGCUGUGUCAUCCGUAUGCUUGUUAUCUAUUGCGCUAAUGAUAUUUGGAAAAUUUGUGCGACUAUAAAAUUCACCUGCAAUUUUAAUCUAGUCAUUUUGUUUAGUUGGCAUAUACAAUAGUUGAAGAAUGUCACCCUUGCCCUCUUUCCGUUUAUAUAAUCAUCAUCGUGGGACUAAUAUCUUACCACCAUCUAUGCAACCUGUUCUACUCCAUCCCCAACCAACCAAUUUGUGAUAUAAUGAAUAUUAAAAACAUCUCAUCGCCAGACCAUUCUAACAAUACAGCCCUUUCACACUUCUCACUCACUUGAGAUGAAUCACAAAUAUAUGACUUGUGACAGAAUAUAUUUCCUAAAAUAUUAGAUAUGUGAAUUUAAUUGCAAUA